GCUGCCCAACAUGAUGUUCGAAGUCGGUCUCGCAAGCCAGGUAAAGGACGACCAAAAUGUGACCACUGUGGCAAGCUAGGCCACAAAAUUGAUAGAUGUUAUGCGCUUCAUGGAUGCCCUCCUCGAUCUAUAGCAAUGGUUAAUUCUGAUCCACCUCCUCGACCUCCCCAAUCACCGUCUACAAAUCAUCCUACUACAUCAAAUAUUGUAGACGACCCUGCAG
rnacentral:lncRNA from 1 species